CAACAAGUUAAGUAUUCAUGGCAUCAAAAUACCUGUAACUGUGAUACUGCCAGUUGAAAAAAUCUGUAAGGUAGCUCUGAGAGUUUUUAUUCUGUAGCACACAGCAGGAUGAAGUUCUGGUUCGUAACUAGCAUGAGGUCUGUUAUUCUUCGUAAAUUCUGGCAAUCUGAUCUCAAAGGGCAUGUUGCACACUGCUAAAACAUUCACAACUUUAAAAUCUGUGAAAAUUACCUGAAAACCUAGUUUCUGUAGACAACGAGCUAAUCGUCUGGCACCAAAUUUAGCUUCUUCUUCACUUGUGGCUCCUGUGCAAAUAACUUUUCCUGAGGACCAAAUUGUGGCUGUAAUCCUAGGUUUUCUAAGUUUCAUUAAUACUUU
rnacentral:lncRNA from 1 species